CGACAAGGAAACAAGUUUCUUGUCGGCUGCUUUUUUUUGCCCCGCCAAAAAAGUACAUGUCAUUGGCAUUGUCUCUAUCAAUUGACAUUUCUCAGUUUUAGAAUUAUAACUUCCAAUUUGAAAUAGACGGAGGAGAUAGAGUACUUCAACUAAAAACAGCAACACAUGAACGAUCAACAAAUAGAAGAAACCUCGUGGUCGUUUUCAGUCAUCAUUUGUUUUCUUCAUGUGGACAUCUAAAACCAUUCUGCUGUGAAAAAUUAAGGAAACGCUUAUGGACACGGUUUUUAAUUAUCGGAUUAGUGGAUAUUACGCAGAAACGGGAGGGAUAAUUAGGCUUCUCACAAGAGACGCAUUUAUCUGGAUCAUCGCUUACUAAGUAAAAGUUGUUUUGACCUCGGCUCAUUCUAAAAGUAGAAGAAGCUUGCUUUAAAAACGUGCCCAAGUCCAAUUAGAAGCAAUCUAACUAAUACAAUUCAAAGCAUUCCGCAUGAAUUUGAAUUGACUUGCUCAUCUGCAGAACUUGGAAACCAAGAUUUCUUAUCCCUCCCGUAGUCAAAAUUGGCAAGACAUUUUCUGUAGUUCAAGAAGCAUUUGAAGCUUGGGAGGAAAUUUUCGAAAUGUCAAGUUUAGUUCAAAAAGAAUUAAUUAAUUUUCUUGAACCAGUUUCUUCAUUUAUCCAACGCACGCAGAUAAAGCAGAACCACUUCAGCUGCUUGCUUUAAUUAUGCGUGUUGAAGGUCUAUUAGCUGCUGACUGCAUUGAAACUUGAUGCCUUAGAAACAGCGAAAAAGACGAAUCUUUCAGCCAAUGAGAGCUGAUCUACCCAACGUGGUGAUGUCAUGUACAUCUCUGAUCUCAUCUACCCCACCCUCAAUGUCUUGGAUCAUACUUUUGGGACGCGUACAAUGAAAAAAACAGACCGUUAACGCAGUCAGAACCCACCUUAGGAAAUGACAUGACAACAAAUGGAGAGAUUCAAUCUUCGUGAAAAUGUAAUGGCUGCUGCUGAGGGCUCAUUCAAGAUACGCAAAACAUUGAAACCAGCAAUAGUUCCUGCAUCACGCGUUGCGUGGCGCUGCGAGUCGUUAAAAUUAGCAGGAACUGUGAUGACUGCGUCCGUCACCUCUGUCCCCAAUUAACUUCAACUUUCGGUUUUCUAUCGUCAGCCACGAAUUCGAAAGGCCAGUGCUUCUGAUCAACAUCUUUGAGUUGACGUCCAAGUAGGCGCUUUGUAUCUGAGAUUUUUGACCCUAAUUUGUAACGUCUGGCAACGCCCUUUCGGUCAGGAAAGAGACUUAAUAUUUGGAAUUCCAUACAAGAUGGUAAAUACCUGUUUCAAUUUAUUAUUUAAACAAAUUAGGAUAAUAUUGUGCUUCGAAAUCUAUAUACAUUAUAUGACUACCUUUGUGGUAUUGCAAUCUUACUCGGCAGCCACAUUGUGUACUUUCUGUAAUGUUGCUAGAAAACGGAAUAACGGUCGUAACCCCCUCAAUAUGGAGUUCAUUUAAAUCGAAUUCAUGUUCAAUGUCAGUUGUUUAUUAGAAACUGUACUUAAUUGACAUUGUUUUUCCUAAUCUGGUUCAAUCGAAUGUUGCAUUGCAAUUUCAGUUGUGUGACUUUGAUAAGACGAGCCAAAUGCAACUAUAAGAAUUAUAUUAAAGCAAUAAUAACAGUUAUUAUAAAAUAAUUUUAAAGAAAACGUGGCGCUCUGCGCCAUCUUUCAACAGCUCCGGUAAAUAGGGUUCAGAAAAGUGAAGUUGUCUCGUUCACCAGUAGAAAUUACAGCUCAGGUUAUCCCUUUUUCCUCUACGCAAUUGAAUUUGUGAUUAAACUCACUUUAUCUCACAGUAAAGAAAAACGUAUAAAACUAAAUAAAUAGCGAUUUUAUAUUUACUUACCACAGUGAUGAGUUUUGAUUGCACGCCCUUGUAAUAUUCGUUAUACUUUACGACCACGGUAGCCCUGUAGAAAUAAAAAUAACCAUGCAGGAUUAAAUUCCAUUAAAAUAUCGUAUAAUCUAUUUCGUAAAACUAACAUCAUAACGACUUGUCCUUUGAAGUUAGCAGGUGGAGUCCACAGAAAGGUCUCAGAAGUUUUAUCAGUACGGCUUGUAUGAGUCACGGCGUUCUAAAAAUAAUCUAAGGUGUAUUAAGAUUGCAUUCCUUUUUUAAAUUAAAAUUUUAAUAUCUUACCAUAACACCGCCGGGACAGUUAAUUGUUUUGCCAGUAUUUGAUUCGCCUGCGACAGUGAAAGUGCCAAUAGGUCUGAUACUGUUGCCUGAUCGAGCUUGAAUCAAAUAGCCCUUGAAAGCCGGCACACCGUUGGUUUUUAAAGUCACUGUACAAUUAAAUUAAAAAGAACGUAUUAAAAUUAAGCGUAGAAGAUUGCCUAAUUUAUGCACUUCUCGCGUUUUUGAACAUAUAUGUAUAAAUAUUUGGUAGAAACAUAAAAUUUUAUUUACCUGUUAUAGGGGAUCUCGGACUGGCUUGCUCGCUGCUGAGUACUAUACUAAAAGGAGCAACCCCUUGUUGGCCAAAGAUGAAUGGAAUAUGGAAAGGCGCCAUACUUGUACACGAACUAACAGGAGCGCCACUUGGCAGUGCCGCUACCUGAGCCGCAAAAAGUACGCUCAGAAUGACGAGCGAAGUCAACAUCCUAAAUGUUUGUAGCAGUUAAUUGUUACUUAAGGUAUAAUAUUGAAAAAUUUCAAAAUUUUAUAACUCAUGCUGUACCUCAUGAUUUGCAGACUAAAACGGACCAAAGAGGUGUAAAGGCUCCACCGUUUUUUGAAACGACUGGACCGACCAACGAGUCGGUAACUAAAGACAAACUGGAGCUCUGUGGCGCUUCUAUUAGUAUGGUGAGACUACGAAUUAUAUAAACAUAACGGAUCACUGGAUUGACGAGUGAAGAGGAUCUUCAGUUAGAGAGAUUGAACUCUGUGUCGCAAUGAGGGAAACACCAAGGGGCAUCAAAGCCGGAUUCUUCUUUUUCUGAAUAACUCAAAUAACACAUUAAUCUGAAACGAACACUUUUUGUUUGAAAACUUGUUUUUUGGUUUUUUACCCAUAGGUUUUCGAAGACUCGAGGAAAAGAAAAAACAACAACAACUAGAUUCAAAGAGAAACCGGUAAAACUAGUUUACCGGUUUUACCACUAAAUAAGCAUUGCCUUUUAAAUCAAUGAACUGAAAAAACUUGGUGGACGUAACAUAUCGGGAAUCAGAAACAAAGUGAAUUGCAAACAUUUCAACUGUUUUUACAUUGGGGCCAUUGUCAUCGUUAUGCUAUGUUAAAGGUAUCUUAUAAGCAGGUUCAGUGAUUUUCAUUUUGUCUGUAAUAAUUAUUUUAGAUGACUCCGAGGAAGUGCACAAUGUCACGUAUGGUUGAUGGAAAAAAGAAAGUAUAUUUUCGUCAUUUUGGGCCGUCUCUUGCGAUCAUCAGUUAUCUUCGCCUGCGUUGGAGGUCAUCACCAUCUUUAUCCAACUAAUAUUGCUGUCGCCCAGGACAACUUUUCUUUUUAGGGCUGGAAAUUUUUUAUCGCUGGUAAUCUUUUUGGAAAUCAUGUGAGGUGAUCGGUCAGAUGUACAGUGACUUCGAUUUUAUUUCUUUCGAGUUAAGUGGUAGGAAACCCAGAAAUGUUUUAUGUAAUCAAUCACGUACGCUGAGAGCCAGCCACUUCAAAAUUGAAUCUGAAAUCACCUCUCGUGGACUCGGUGAUAAAUCGCUCCCAUGGCUUACCUCGCAAUUACUAACAGAACCAGUAAGAAAAUUUUAAUUCUUAACGGGACUAGGGAUUCAAUGGGUGUGUUAAGUGAUUCUCUCUGCCCGAGGUACCGACUUUAAAAAUAUUGCCAAUUUUUUUAACAGUUUGUUUCUGGUAAACCUUGUUUAAUAGUGUGAAACAAAGCGCCUUUCUUACUGACAGCGGAUUGCUUUGAGUCAAAUUCUGGAUUUUCAAUCUCAGUUUGAAAGACUAGUGAAAAACAUUACCAAUUGUGGCCAUUGAUUACAGGUGGGUUGACCAGUUAAGCGUUUCCAUUUGCUUAGCUUUUACACUGACCUUCCCUGUAAGUAUAUAUAUACAUAUAUAUGUAUAUAUUAUUUUAUUUUUUUUAUGACUCCUGGGGCUUGAUUUCUUUACCUGUUCAUUAAAGGUCCUAAUUCCGAAUGCCCUCCAAAGAUUAUUAUGGUAUUUCAAAACCUAAGCUGUAUUUUAUGCAAAUUGUUAGACCGGUUUUCAGAAGAGGCCUUCUACCUUCGAAUCGACUUGCUAUUUUAGAUUGUUUAAGAACAUUUUUGACAUAGAUAUCGUUAAAGAAUGGCUUGAGCCAGAGGUUUUUGUUUUGACCACCCUUUUUUUCGUCUGUAUCUGUCUUUGUUUCUGGGGGUUUCGGUUAUCUGUCUUUGUUUUUAAGAUGCCUAAAAGACGUAAGUUUAUUCUGCGCCCGGGUUGAGAAAAACAGUUGCGGCUAUGGACGUUGUAUACGCUUUGGAACGUCAGGGUUGCACUCUGUACGGUUUCGUUAGUUAAUAUACGCGUACCAUUUUGAACCCACUGGCUCUUUUCCUGGCCACCAGUAUUUUAAGAAACUGAAAUUGUAGAUUAAUUUCAAAUCGCAUGUAAUUUUCAGUGUUAUUACUAAAAAUGGAAAACGAAUGAUCGUGCUAGCUUAACUUAAUAGUAAGACAUUCGUUAUGGAAAUGCGCCUUGAAUUUACAAAUUCGCAUUUAAAUUAACAUUGUAGCUUCCACAGCUUCCUAAAAAUUAGUGUAUUUACAAAGACACAGACGGAUGCCUUUCGCACACUUGAGAAUUUUUAGACAACUUCACCCUAUUAGGAGAGGACUACCCUAAUAGAAAGGUGCCUUAGCAUGUAGGAAAUUUUUCUAUUAACAAUAAUCUUCUUCUGGCAUAGUUUUAAAUGGAAUAGAUGGCGUUUGAUUAAACAAGCGGAACAGCAGCUGUUUUUUUUUAUUGUUUUGUGACUCAGAAAGAACCGUUUGAUUGGAGAAAUAAGAAACGAUAUUCUUGGUGCUCGUGUACUGGGUCACAGCCUUUGUUCCUUCAGACACAACGUGCUUGGCCAACUCACACAGGGUAAUCUCCCCCGGUGGCCAACUGAAGCAGUGUCUCCCCCUGCCUUGGUUGACGGCAACUUUUGAAGGUAUUAUUUUGCACUUCAAAACUUGCAAAUCAUUGUAUUGUGUGGAGAAAAGUCAAUAAAAAUUUUUAUUUGA